rnacentral:rRNA from 1 species
UGGGGAAUAUUGCGCAAUGGGGGGAACCCUGACGCAGCCAUGCCGCGUGAAUGAAGAAGGCCUUCGGGUUGUAAAGUUCUUUCGGUAUUGAGGAAGGUUGAUGUGUUAAUAGCACAUCAAAUUGACGUUAAAUACAGAAGAAGCACCGGCUAACUCCGUGCCAGCAGCCGCGGUAAUACGGAGGGUGCGAGCGUUAAUCGAAAUAACUGGGCGUAAAGGGCACGCAGGCGGUUAUUUAAGUGAGGUGUGAAAGCCCCGGGCUUAACCUGGGAAUUGCAUUUCAGACUGGGUAACUAGAGUACUUUAGGGAGGGGUAGAAUUCCACGUGUAGCGGUGAAAUGCGUAGAGAUGUGGAGGAAUACCGAAGGCGAAGGCAGCCCCUUGGGAAUGUACUGACGCUCAUGUGCGAAAGCGUGGGGAGCAAACAGGAUUAGAUACCCUGGUAGUCCACGCUGUAAACGCUGUCGAUUUGGGGGUUGGGGUUUAACUCUGGCGCCCGUAGCUAACGUGAUAAAUCGACCGCCUGGGGAGUACGGCCGCAAGGUUA